UAAGGCUGAGACACGACGUCGAGCUGCUACGGCAGUGAAGUCAUUGAUGCCAUGCUUCCAGGAAAAGCCUCUAAGCUUCAGAUAGUCAGGAAUCGUACCCCAAACCGACACAGGUGGUCGGGUAGAGAAUACCAAGGCGCUUGAGAGAACUCGGGUGAAGGAACUAGGCAAAAUGGUACCGUAACUUCGGGAGAAGGUACGCUCUUGAUGGUGAAGUCCCUCGCGGAUGGAGCUGACGAGAGUCGCAGAUACCAGGUGGCUGCAACUGUUUAUUAAAAACACAGCACUGUGCAAAAUCGCAAGAUGACGUAUACGGUGUGACGCCUGCCCGGUGCCGGAAGGUUAAUUGAUGGGGUUAGCGCAAGCGAAGCUCUUGAUCGAAGCCCCGGUAAACGGCGGCCGUAACUAUAACGGUCCUAAGGUAGCGAAAUUCCUUGUCGGGUAAGUUCCGACCUGCACGAAUGGCGUAAUGAUGGCCACGCUGUCUCCACCCGAGACUCAGUGAAAUUGAAAUCGCUGUGAAGAUGCAGUGUACCCGCGGCUAGACGGAAAGACCCCGUGAACCUUUACUACAGCUUGGCACUGAACAUUGAACCUACAUGUGUAGGAUAGGUGGGAGGCUAUGAAGACGUGACGCCAGUUGCGUUGGAGCCGUCCUUGAAAUACCACCCUUGUAUGUUUGAUGUUCUAACUUAGACCCAUUAUCUGGGUUGAGGACAGUGCCUGGUGGGUAGUUUGACUGGGGCGGUCUCCUCCCAAAGAGUAACGGAGGAGCACGAAGGUGGGCUAAUCACGGUUGGACAUCGUGAGGUUAGUGCAAUGGCAUAAGCCCGCUUAACUGCGAGAAUGACGGUUCGAGCAGGUGCGAAAGCAGGUCAUAGUGAUCCGGUGGUUCUGUAUGGAAGGGCCAUCGCUCAACGGAUAAAAGGUACUCCGGGGAUAACAGGCUGAUACCGCCCAAGAGUUCAUAUCGACGGCGGUGUUUGGCACCUCGAUGUCGGCUCAUCACAUCCUGGGGCUGAAGUCGGUCCCAAGGGUAUGGCUGUUCGCCAUUUAAAGUGGUACGCGAGCUGGGUUUAGAACGUCGUGAGACAGUUCGGUCCCUAUCUGCCGUGGGCGUUGGAAGAUUGAAGGGGGCUGCUCCUAGUACGAGAGGACCGGAGUGGACGAACCUCUGGUGUUCGGGUUGUGUCGCCAGACGCAUUGCCCGGUAGCUAAGUUCGGAAUUGAUAAGCGCUGAAAGCAUCUAAGCGCGAAGCGAGCCCUGAGAUGAGUCUUCCCUGAUACUUUAAGUAUCCUAAAGGGUUGUUCGAGACUAGAACGUUGAUAGGCAGGGUGUGUAAGCGUUGUGAGGCGUUGAGCUAACCUGUACUAAUUGCCCGUGAGGCUUAACCAUACAACACCCAAGGGGUUUUGUA
rnacentral:rRNA from 1 species